UACGGAGGGUGCAAACGUUGCUCGGAAUCAUUGGGCGUAAAGCGCACGUAGGCGGCUAGAUAAGUCGGGUGUGAAAGCCCUGGGCUCAACCCAGGAAGUGCAUUCGAAACUGUCUAGCUUGAAUCUCGGAGGGGGGUCAGAGAAUUCCCGGUGUAGAGGUGAAAUUCGUAGAUAUCGGGAGGAAUACCAGUGGCGAAGGCGCUGACCUGGACGAAGAUUGACGCUGAGGUGCGAAAGCGCGGGGAGCAAACAGG
rnacentral:rRNA from 1 species